UUUCCGUAGGUGAACCUGCGGAAGGAUCAUUACCUUUCAAUGCAGCAGAAUUGGGAUGGUUGAGUUUCUCGCCUCUCAAUUCUGCCUGUAUUCUACCCUUGUUUGUCAUAUACUAUUAUUUCCUCGGCAGGCUUGCCUGCCGAGUGAAACCCAUUAUAACCUAUUUAAUUUUCAAUCAGCGUCUGAAAAAAUUAAUAAUUACAACUUUCAACAACGGAUCUCUUGGUUCUG
rnacentral:misc_RNA from 1 species